rnacentral:rRNA from 1 species
AUUGAACGCUGGCGGCAUGCCUUACACAUGCAAGUCGAACGGUAACAGCUCUUCGGAGGCUGACGAGUGGCGAACGGGUGAGUAAUACAUCGGAACGUGCCCGAUCGUGGGGGAUAACGGAGCGAAAGCUUUGCUAAUACCGCAUACGAUCUACGGAUGAAAGCAGGGGACCCUCGGGCCUUGCGCGAACGGAGCGGCCGAUGGCAGAUUAGGUAGUUGGUGGGAUAAAAGCUUACCAAGCCGACGAUCUGUAGAUGGUCUGAGCGGACGACCAGCCAAACUGGGACUGAGGCACGGUCCAGACUCCUACGGGAGGCAGCAGUGGGGAAUUUUGGACAAUGGGCGAAAGCCUGAUCCAGCAAUGCCGCGUGCAGGAUGAAGGCCUUCGGGUUGUAAACUGCUUUUGUACGGAACGAAAAGUCUCGGGCUAAUACCCUGGGACCAUGACGGUACCGUAAGAAUAAGCACCGGCUAACUACGUGCCAGCAGCCGCCGUAA